CAACAAUUCAGUUCUAGAGAAAGUCUUCCACAUUGCUCAUGAAGAAAUGAAGGCAAAGAGAGCGAGGGCUGCCGUGCCCAAGGUCACAGAAACAGGAGUGAAUCAAUCAAAUUAAUCACCUCUGUGGAUCUCGACUGCCGAAACACUCAACAUGUCUAAUGUGUGCGGGGCUGGAGAAUUUAGCACAUGCCUGAAUACCUAUAACUACAAUCCAGACUCCUAAUAGGCACACGGGCAACCAGACAGAAGAUGAAACACUGCACUAGGAGCUCACUAGCUGGCUAUGCAGUGCCCUCCCCUGGAACUAAGAGAAAGUUGUAACGGCGUGUGCAUCCCACUGUGAGCGUGGUUCUCUGCCACACAGACCAUGAGGCAGAAGAGGCCAUGUCUUUUCAGCGGCUGCCUCAGUGGUGUUCCCCACCCACGGCUCUGACGAGUCCUCAGGAGAUGCAGGUGAAAGGUCAACAUGAAUUAGUUCCGACAUCUAGAGUGCAUCUCAAGACUUCAUGUAAAUAUGACUUUAGUGAAGCCAUUUCUUGUAUGUGGCCAUCUCAAAUCCAGAUCAAAUUUAAACCCCUGCGCAGCAUGGGCUGCCUCGUCGUUGGCCUCUCUUGUCUUGGCUGAUUCAGCAGAAGGGCACUGGACCUGAGCCAAAGUUCAAAUUGCCUUCAUUUUUCUCUGUAAACAAAAGACAGAUGUCAGAUGGCCAGGUGAAUCGGAUCCAGAUGAGACGACACUCCACAUCGGCACUAUUUCGUUGGAAGACAAUCGAAGGGAGAACUUAUCAAGUUUCUGCGGAGUUUUUGCCAUACAUUUCAUCAUCUUCUCCCAAUCGUCCUCCCACAGCUUCUGAGUUAUCACUUGGAUGCUAAAGACGGAGCACCGAGGGGAAGCCAUGCUGGGCCAUCUUGACACCACAUACAGCUUCCUCUGCAAUUCUAUAAGGAAUGUACUGGCCUUAAAAUCAAGAGCAGAUAGAUAAAUGGAAGAUUCCUAAAUUAACUGAGAAGGACAAUUAAUACUACCACAAGAACAGCAGUGUUCAGCUGUGUCCCCUGAGAUGCCACUUUCGGUGUCCAGAGGCUACUUGAAUCCGUGAAGUAGAGCAAGUACAAUCUGCCAGGGGCUGAUCUACUGCCGGGGAGAGUGCAGUGUCUUUAUGAAUAAGAGACAGACCUCAGCUCCGGGAAGAAAAAAAGAGAGGAAGAGAAGGUCCAAGAGUCUGAUCAAAUUACCAAACUACUCGGCCUCUGCCUGCCAAGGAGGAAGGUUUGUUUUGAGACUGGAUCUCAGUAGAGAGCCCAGGUCGGCUGAGAGUUCCUGGUCUCACUGGCCCUGCCCGGAAUGGAGCUGAGUUUAUAUGAUUGCAUCACGAGGCUCAACUACAGCAGCAUCCUUUGACCCAAAGCUCUCUGUCCAUCACUUCCACUAGUGCGGACAUCCAGGACCAUCAACCACAGACGCUGAAAGUCAAGCUAGCCUACAAAGCUACGAAAAAAGCAUUUGU